GACGAACGCUGGCGGCGUGCUUAACACAUGCAAGUCGAACGGAAAGGCCCUGCUUUUGUGGUGUGCUCGAGUGGCGAACGGGUGAGUAACACGUGAGUAACCUGCCCUUGACUUUGGGAUAACUUCACGAAACUGGGGCGAAUACCGGAUAGGAGCUCCUGCUCCAUGGUGUGGGUUGGAAAGUUUCGGCGGUGGGGGAUGGACUCGCGGCUUAUCAGCUUGUUGGUGUGGUAGUGGCUUACCAAGUCUUUGACGGCUAGCCGGCAUGAGAGGGUGUACGGCGACAUUGGGACUGAGAUACGGACCAGACGCCUACGUGAGGCAGCAGUGGGGAAUAUUGCAGAAUGGGCGGACGCGUGAUGUAGAAACGUUGCGUGCGGGAUGAUGGCUUACGGGUUGUAAACAGAUUUCUACUGUGCCGAAGCGUGCGUGACGGUAAUGGGUAAAAAAGCCACGGCUAACUACGUG
rnacentral:rRNA from 1 species